CCCCUAACGAUUAUAUCUAGUACUAUCCCCAAGGUUUGGAAGGAGGCCCAGGUACUCCCCCUAACGAUUAUAUCUAGUACUAUCCCCAAGGUUUGGAAGGAGGCCCAGGUACUCCCCUAACGAUUAUAUCUAGUACUAUCCCCAAGGUUUGGAAGGAGGCCCAGGUACUCCCCCUAAUGAUUAUAUCUAGUCCUAUCCCCAAGGUUUGGAAGGAGGCCCAGGUACUCCCCUAAUGAUUAUAUCUAGUACUAUCCCCAAGGUUUGGAAGGAGGCCCAGGUACUCCCCUAACCUGACGAUUAUAUCUAGUACUAUCCCCAAG
ensembl:lncRNA